AUGGGGGAGGUUGGUGCAGACACGAUCUACACCCAAGAUGGCACCGUGGACAUCAAGGGCAACCAGGCCGUCAAGAGCAACACCGGCAACUGGCACGCCUGCCCCUACAUCCUCGCUAACGAAUGCUGCGAGCGGCUGGCGUACUACGGCAUGAGCGCCAACCUGAGCAACUUCAUGCUGGACAACAUGGGCAUGAACAAGAGCGACGCCGCCAACACCGUCAGCAACUGGACGGGAACCUGCUAUGCCGCCCCCCUCAUCGGCGCCUUCCUCGCCGACGCCUACCUCGGCCGCUUCUGGACCAUCGCCUCCUUCGUGAUCAUCUACGUCAUCGGUCUGGGCCUCCUGACGGUUGCGGCGUCGGUGAAAGGGCUGGUGCCGACGUGCGCGGCCAAGGGGGUGUGUAACCCGACGGCGGGGCAGACGGCGGCGGUGUUCGUCGGUCUGUACCUCGUCGCUCUGGGCACGGGCGGGAUCAAGCCCUGCGUGUCCUCGUUCGGAGCUGACCAGUUCGACGAGCACGACGAGAGCGAGCGGCGGAGCAAGAGCUCCUUCUUCAACUGGUUCUACUUGUCCAUCAACAUCGGCGCGCUGGUGGCGUCGUCCGUGCUGGUGAAUGUGCAGGUGCGCUACGGCUGGGGCUGGGGCUUCGGCAUCCCCGCCGUCGUCAUGGCCAUCGCCGUCGGCAGCUUCUUCGUCGGCACGCCGCUCUACCGCCACCAGCGCCCCGGCGGCAGCCCGCUCACCCGCAUCGCGCAGGUGCUCGUCGCGGCCACGCGCAAGCUGAGCGUCCCCGUCGACGGGUCGGCGCUGUACGAGACGACGGAGAGGGAGUCCGGCAUCGAGGGGAGCCGCAAGCUGGAGCACACCGAGCAGUUCAGGUUCCUCGACAAGGCGGCCGUGGAGACGCCGGCGGACAGGACUGCGACGGCGCCAUCGGCGUGGAGGCUGUGCACGGUGACGCAGGUGGAGGAGCUCAAGAGCGUGGUGCGGCUGCUGCCCAUCUGGGCGAGCGGCAUCGUCUUCGCGGCGGUGUACGGGCAGAUGAACACCGUGUUCGUGUUCCAGGGAAACACCCUCGACAAGCGCAUGGGCGCCCACUUCUCCAUCCCCUCUGCCUCGCUCUCUACCUUCGACACCCUCAGCGUCAUCUUCUGGGUGCCCGUGUACGACCGCCUCCUCGUCCCGGCCGUCCGCUCCGUCACCGGCCACCCCCGCGGCUUCACGCAGCUCCAGCGCAUGGGUGUCGGCCUCGUCGUCUCGAUCUUCUCCAUGGUCGCCGCCGGCGUGCUCGAGCUUUUCCGCCUCCGCACGGUCGCGCGGCUCGGGCUGUACGGGGAGGAGGACAUCGUGCCCAUCUCCAUCUUCUGGCAGGUGCCGCAGUACUUCAUCGUCGGCGCCGCCGAGGUGUUCGUCUUCGUGGGGCAGCUGGAUUUCUUCUACGACCAGGCGCCGGACGCCAUGAGGAGCAUGUGCAUGGCGCUAUCGCUGACGGCGGUAGCACUGGGGAGCUACGUGAGCACGCUGCUGGUGACGGUGGUGAAGAAGGUGACGACGACGGGUGGAAAGCAAGGGUGGAUCCCGGACAAGAACCUCAACGUCGGCCACCUCGACUACUUCUUCUGGCUAAUGACCGUGCUCAGCGUUGUCAACUUUGCUAUCUACCUGCCCAUCGCCAACUGGUAUUCCUACAAGAGGACCGCCGAAGCCGAAUACAACCCGGAUGCCAUUGAAGGAGGUGAUGAUCCACAUGGCACAUGA
rnacentral:rRNA from 1 species